AAUGAACGCUGGCGGCGCGCCUAAUACAUGCAAGUCGAGCGAGAAGACGUAGCAAUACGUUUGUAAAGCGGCGAACGGGUGAGGAAUACAUGGGUAACCUACCCUCGAGUGGGGAAUAACUAGCCGAAAGGUUAGCUAAUACCGCGUACGCUUCUUGGACUUCGGUUCAGGGAGGAAAGCGAUGCCGAGGGUAUCGCGCUCUUGGAUGGGCUCAUGUCCUAUCAGCUUGUUGGNGAGGUAACGGCUCACCAAGGCUUCGACGGGUAGCUGGUCUGAGAGGACGAUCAGCCACACUGGCACUGCGACACGGGCCAGACUCCUACGGGAGGCAGCAGUAAGGAAUAUUGCGCAAUGGGCGAAAGCCUGACGCAGCGACGCCGCGUGGGGGAUGAAGGUCUUCGGAUUGUAAACCCCUUUCGGGAGGGAAGAUGGAAUGGGGUAACCCAUUCGGACGGUACCUCCAGAAGCAGCCACGGCUAACUUCGUGCCAGCAGCCGCAGU
rnacentral:rRNA from 1 species